rnacentral:rRNA from 1 species
GAGUUUGAUCCUGGCUCAGGAUGAACGCUAGCGGCAGGCUUAAUACAUGCAAGUCGUGGGGCAGCAUGAUGUAGCAAUACAUUGAUGGCGACCGGCAAACGGGUGCGGAACACGUACACAACUUUCGUCAAGUGGGAAUAGCCCAGAGAAAUUUGGAUUAAUACCCGUAACAUAUAGAGAGUGCAUCUUCUUUAUAUUAUAGCUUCGGCGCUUGAUGAUGGGUGUGCGGCUGAUUAGGUAGUUGGCGGGGUAACGGCCCACCAAGCCUACGAUCAGUAGCUGAUGUGAGAGCAUGAUCAGCCACACGGGCACUGAGACACGGGCCCGUACUCCUACGGGAGGCAGCAGUAAGGAAUAUUGGUCAAUGGGCGAAAGCCUGAACCAGCCAUG